rnacentral:lncRNA from 1 species
AUGUCCUGUGUGAUGGCCACACUGUUCUCCGCAGCAAGGAGGAAGGAUUCUUUCAGAGAAUGUAGAUGGCCAGCUCAGGAAUGGAUGCCUGCACUGAAGACAUUGAAGCCUAGAUGCAUCCCAUCUGCUUGGUUGGUAAACAAUAUUGUGGCGUGCAAGGCCUGGGGCAUCACACUGAACACUGACAACAAAAUCUGUUCAUUUAGUUGAGCACUGGCUAUUUUAUUUGCUAAAUUAUAUGGGAGGUCCUUUGAAAAGCAUAAUGACAUGUUUCUGUAGUUAUUAACUCUGUCAUGGUGAAUUAGCACAAAGUAAUACUGUCUGUAAAACCUUAAUUCUACUGUUUUUUAACUUCUGAAUCUUUGAUGAAAUGCCAGUCGAUUCUUGGCAUUUUUUAGAAGCAAAGCUGAAAAAAAAUCCCUAAAUUUUCCAUUUUUGUGAGGGACUGUCCAUUGAUGGAGCUGGAACCUUCUAUCGCACAGACCUUUGGCACUUCAGUGGUAGAAUAACUGAUAGCUGCUCCAGAAUGUCAUUGUCUAUGUUUUCCAGCAGUAAAGUAGAUUUAAAAGUGCCCUUUCCAAGGUGCUUUGUAGGUUAUGGCUGAUAUCAGGGGUGUGGUGAGACUGAGGAAUUUGAAUUUCUGCAUUUUGGAGGGGAAGUUCCAUUGGUGUUUAGAGACCCUUCUUGACCCAUCCAUCAUGGUCUCUUCCUCAGUCCUCUCAAGUCCUCCCAAGAAAGCUCUUUCUCAGCUAACCUCACUGUUAGCUUCUCCUGACUUCCUAUCCAGUCCCUAACCAUUUCUUGCCCUCACCUAGUCCUUCCAUGGUUUCUUCCUUGUCCCCUGUUUUCGCAUCAGGUGGCUGUCUUCUUCUUGCCACCUGGGUGCCAAAACUGUUUUUUUUUUGACUACAGAAGGCUGUGUCUUGUGUUUUUGUUCUUGUGUUUUGGGGCAGUAUGGAGGAACAAUGGCAAGGGAAGGUGCAAGUUGGGAAAGGAUCUUGCCGACCUACUGUAUAAAAAUGGAAGAGCUGCAAGCAGGUUACCUGUAGGCAUUGUGUGUCAUGAUCCCAGAAAUGGGAACAAGUCCAGCCUUCAGGAAAACUCUUCUGCCAAACUCAAAAGUCUCCUUUAAAACACAUGCCAUAAUUUAUUGAUGAAAUAGGUGGAUUAUUUUACAUGAGAGGACUCACUAAUUCUUAAGCAUGUUACAGGUGACACUAAUACUGUUCUCUCUACUGUUGUUAUGUUCUGAAAGUGGUGUGUAAGAGUCGGGGAAAUGCAGGGAAAUUGCCACCAGAUGGUUUGAGAUCAGUCCUGUCAACAGAUUGAGGAAAUGCAAAAGCCUGGGCUAGUAUGGAGAGGGCUGGGCUGUUGCUUAAGGGUGGUUUCUGUGCUGCGUGUGUGUGUCUUUAAGGUGAUCAGAGUAUCAGUGACACAAUAAAAGGCAAGGCAGAGCUCA